rnacentral:lncRNA from 1 species
CAGAUUCCAGCCUCAGCAUUCCCAGAGAAGGCCCAGGAUCUCCCUGAGAGGCCCAGUUGGUGUUUGUGGAAUCAUCACUCCUCUGGUGAUCACGCAGUUUGCCUCACUUUCUCCAUGGAGCUCUUUGCUAAAGGACAUUCUCCUCCAGCUGUGAAGGAAAAGCCCAACAAAAGGCAGGGUACUUUGUUCUAACUGAGGAUGUCUACUGACACAGCCAAGCUGUAAAGCAGACCACGGACGGCAGUGCAGCGGGGAGAACAACUCUACAUCUGGUUGGAGGUGGAGUAAUGUCCAGUCUGGGCACAGAGAGAUGGCAGGUGUGCAGCUGCACUCAGCAUGGGAUAGAGCACCACCUGCCAGGCCAGAACAGAAAGAAGGGCGACGGAGACUGGCAGAGAAACAGCAAUUACUGCUCAGUGAGAAGUAAACAGCGUCUGCUUCCAGAGGCUUUACGGACCAGAAAGCCCACAGGAAAUAGCUCCUGCUUCCCAGCCUGGAGGUCCUCAUGCACUAGCCCUCCCUGCUACAAUUUUGAUGGUUUUUCGCAUAUUUACAGAAUUGUGCAACCAUCACCAUGAUCAGUCUUAGAAGAGUUAAUCACCCCUGACCCCAGAAAACUCUGUAUUCAUUAGCAGUCACUCCCUUUCCCCUUUCCACCCCUCUCCAACAUUAGGCAACCACUAAUCUACUCUCUGUCUCCAUAAACUGGUCUAUUUUGGACAUUUCACAUAAGCCUCCCUGGAUCCCAGUUUAAGCAUCCUGGGGUUUGUCUGCCUGCCAGAGCCAUGGUGCCACUGGGGCUACCUGUCCUGUGGGAUGACAAGGCAGGUCCAAACCUUUGCCUGCUCUCCCAUCCAUUCCUUUUGUGUUAGUCCAUGUGUCUCCCGACUGUUCUCUCCAACAACAACACAGACUGACAAAACCUACUGACUUGGAGUCAGGAACAGACUUUGCUAUUUUCUGGCUGUGUGAUCCUGAUGAGUCCCUUGAACCUCCUGGACUUGUUCCUCAGCCUAAAAACCAAGACUAAUAAAUCAAGUCUAUCUCACAGCCUUACGUGGGGAUCAAAAAACAUGGAGCAUGUGAACACACAUUGUACAUCACGAAGCUGUAUGCAAAUAAAUAUCGUGUAACUCCAGCCCUUUUUGAGUUUAUAAAUAAAAGUGAAAACCUCAUAACCC